UGUAUAAUGUAUUAGCUAGCUGCUAGGCUACACCACUAGUAAUAUAUGUAUAAUGUAUUAGCUAGCUGCUAGGCUACACCACUAGUAAUAUAUGUAUAAUGUAUUAGCUAGCUGCUAGGCUACACCACUAGUAAUAUAUGUAUAAUGUAUUAGCUAGCUGCUAGGCUACACCACUAGUAAUAUCUGUAUAAUGUAUUAGCUAGCUGCUAGGCUACACCACUAGUAAUAUCUGUAUAAUGUAUUAGCUAGCUGCUAGGCUACACCACUCUCUACAUCUGUGUCAGUUUGACUUUUGCCAUUUCAUAGCACCCAUUUUUAGGUGAAUUACAUGUAAUCUGAUUAUUAAAAAAAAACAAGCUAAUCAGCUACUUUACCAGCAACAAAUAUUGUAAUCAGAUUACAGAUACUAUAGAAAAACUUGAGGAUUACAUCUUGGAUUACUUUUAAAUUCAGAAAGGAUGUUUGCAAAUAAAAUUACAUUAUGACACUUUUCUGUUUUCUCAACCACAUUCAAAUCCGAGUUGAAAAAAGCCCCAAGUUUGUUUGUUCCACCUUAGCAAGUCUGACCACAAGUCAGAGACCACUGUGAAGACACACCAAAUGCAUUUUAUGGAUCUUCUUCUAAAGUCUCUUGAGGGGAAAGUAAUCCAAAAGUAACUGAAAGUAAUCCGAGUUGGGUAAUCCAAAAGUUCAGUUACUGAUUACAAUUUUGGACAGGUAACAGGUAACUGUAACGGAUUCUGCCUGCCUGACUAACUAUCAAUAUUUUUUUCCCAGCUGUUUAUCAAAACUAAAGUAAUAUCCAAGAAACUUAACUGAAACAUCAGAAUAAAAACAUUUUUACUAAUUAACUACCAAUUCAGAGCUCGUAUGAAACUUAAGGAUAAAUGUCUCGCCAAACUAACGUUAGCUAGCUAAUCCAUUCAUAGACACUGGCUAGCUUCUAGAAAUAACAUUUGCUAAUGAAACUCCGGUGAUAGUUAGCUACAUUACAUAGAAGCCAGCAAGCAGCUAACCUAAGUAAAAGUUGUUAGCCAUAUGCUAAUUAACGUUUAAAAAUAAUAUAAUGAACACCUACCUGUCUGUACACCACGUCGGAGUAAAUGGUGUGUUUGAUAUGUCUGUCUGAAUGAAGUUAAAACUUUUAACAAAAAACGUUUAACUUAAAAAAUAAUAAUAAUACAUUACAAACACUGAUUAUUAGCAAUUUAGCGACCACACUACGCAAGGACUACAAGAGGACAGUUGCUCACACCGCGGGGGAAAGUCGAGAGAAGAGCUAAGCUCUUAGCGAUAAGGGAGAUUUAUUUCAGUCUUUCCUUUCCUUGCCAAAGAGUUUGAGGUGAUGAUAAGAUAAUGAUUAUUUAUUCGGUCAAAUGAUCCACAAUAAGAUUCUAGUCUUUGAUCCCCACAGGCAACCCGCGAGAGCUCAAAAAGUUUCAAUUAUCUUGUCACGCAUGGUGACAUGAAGUGAACUUAGCUAUACAACACGAAAUAACAAAACAGCCACAAAGACCGUUUCUGUAUGAAGAGUUCCCUGUGUAAUGACAACAUCAACUGAACAAAACCCUCUGCCAGCCAAACGUGGACUGCCAUGCGAAAAGAUGACCAUCCUCAGUGAGCUGUCUGCCUGUCUCUGUCCUUGUGUUUCCUAUCUGCAGCGAUUCCCAGACGUGCUCUCUAUCUGGCUCUCACUACUCAGCAGCUGAUAAAAUCUUGGAACAGCUUCCCUUUCUCACCCCCUUUCCUUCAUCCAGAGAGGCAGGUUGGUGGGUUUGAAGGAAAUGAAAUGAGAUCAUCGCUGGAGGUUCUGGGCUGCGGGCCGCUGCUGGAGGCGCCGGACCGUCGCUGGAGGCUCCGGACUGGGGAGCGUCGCUGGAGGCUCCGGAGUGGGGAGCGUCGCUGGAGGCUCCGGACUGGGGAGCGUCGCUGGAGGCUCCGGAGUGGGGAGCGUCGCUGGAGGCUCCGGACUGGGGAGCGUCUCUGUAGGUUUGGGACUGGGGACCGUCGCUGCAGGCUCCGUGCCAUGGAUCAUCGCUACAGGUUCCGCGCCAUGGAUCAUCACUGGAGGCUUUGUGCCAUGGAGUAUCAGUGGAGGCUUCGGACCAUUGAUCAUCACUGGAGGCUUCCUACGUGGAGCUGGAACAGGUCUCACCGGACUGGGGAGACGCACAGGAGACUGGGUGCGCAGAGCAGGCACAGGGUAUACUGGGCCGUAGAGGCGCACUGGAGGUCUGGAGCUUAGGGCUGGCACACCCCGUCCUGGCUGGAUGGUUAUUUGAGCCCAGCAAGGGUGGAGCGCUGGCACCGGACGAACUGGGCUGUGCUGGUGAACGGGGGGUACCGUGCGUAGAGCAGGCGCAGGAUAACCUGGGCCGAAGAGACGCACUGGAGACCAGAUACGCUGAGCCGGCGCACUUCUUCCUGGCUGCCGGCCAACUCUAGUACGGCAACGGUGAGGAGCUUGCACCGAGCGCACCAGGCUGUGAGUGCGCCCUGGCGACACAGUGCGCAUCACCGCAUAACACUGUGCUUGCUCGGUCACUCGCUCCCCACGGUAAGCACGGGGAGUUGGCUCAGGUCUCCAACCUGACUCUGCCAAUCUCCCCGUGUGCCCCCCCAAAAAUCUUUUUUGGGGGUGCCUCUCGCACUUGCCUCUUGGUGGAUAUAGUGCCUCGUAGUAUCGCCGCUCCGCUCUUGCUGCCUCGAUCUCCUCCUUAGGACGGCGAUACUCCCCAGCCUGCCUCCAGGGUCCUUUCCCGUCCAAUAUCUCCUCCCAAGUCCAUUUGUCCUGCUGAUCCCUACCACGCUGCUUGGUCCUUUGGUGGCGGGUGAUUCGGUCACGGCUGUCUAAAGGAUCGGACCAAAAUGCAACAUGGUUAUACUUCCACAUAUUUAUUUAUUCCGUGAAACGUUGCGAUACACAAAUAACUAGACUAACAGAAAACAACAAACCGUGACGCAGAGAGAAAAUAAACACUACUCAAAAGAUAAUCACCCACAAAAACAGGUGGGACAAACAUCAGCUUAAAACCAGCUGCCUCUAAUUGGAGAUCAUACCAAACAAAACCAACAUAGAAAUACAAAACUAGAAACUGAACAUAGAAAUACAAAACAUAGACAAACACCCCCUGUCACACCCUGACCUACUCUACCAUAGAAAAUAACAACUUACUAUGGUCAGGACGUGACAAUAACAAGUGCAAACUGUAUAUUUUGUUUAUGUAUACUACACUUUUUAACAUUUACUUUUUUAGAUACAAGACAGAAUAUUUUAAUUGCAAAUCAAAUGAAUGUUAAAUAAGUAAAUAUUCAGUUGAUGGUGGAUGUUUUUCUGAAUGUGUGUUAUUGUAGGUGUAUUAUUACAUUGAAUGUUUACAUUAUUUCUGUAUCUUAUAUGAUUGUGUUCUUAAUAAAAUGUGGAUAGGCCUAGGCCGUGUUGUCUUCCACACUUGGAAUACAACUGUUUCUGUUCUGG
rnacentral:lncRNA from 1 species